CUGGCCAACCGGCGCGGUCCGAUCAGCCCGCGACCGCGUGAUCGCAAGCGUGCUGUUCACGUGCUCCCGGUCUGACUUGGGCCGUGAUCGUGACGUCAGCGCGCGUGGCGAACACGGUCGAUACGUCAUGGCGUCAUGGUGCGCCCCGCGCGCGCGUCAUGCCUCUCCGCCCUCCCCAUCGCCAGCCUAUCGUUCUAAUGUUGUGUACGUUGAUUUCGCUCUGUCGGGUCUUCGCAAGGCUCGCCUCUUUCCCUCUUCGUUCGCGUACCGUGAACGACCUCACUUCGCUUUUGUAACUCUCUUCGUCCUUCACUACAAACUCGUUUCUCUCUUUCUCUGCGUGUCUCUCUUUCUGUCUUUUGUUUAUCCUUUUCUUUUUAUCCGUUCGUUUUUUCUUAUUGUUUCCUCUUUUAUGUAAACGCAAUGACCCAUGUCCUAAACAAUAAAGAUUUGCGUAUUUUUUUUCUCGUAUCUCCUCGUUAUGGCGUUUAUCUUUUUUUCUUGUAAAAUUACAUAAUUUUAUCACCGACUUAUUUCGUAAGAUUAAUGUUUUGUUUCUCAAUUAUAAAAUCCAAUUUCAAAACAAUAGCGUAAAAAUCGCUUUUUUUCUUGUAAUCUUCUUUUCAUUGUAAACUUCUUUGACUGGAGGUUGGUCGCAACGAAUCUGUACCCAGAGUACUCGACUGAACUGAAGCAAGCGCCGGAAGGAGCCCGUAUGAGACUCUUCAGAUUAACGAUUUAUAGGUGCAGCCGAUAACUUGAAGCAAACACUUUGCUUUACGCCAGUCGCGUACAGCAAUAAGACAAUGACACAUCGGAAAGUCAAAUGCAGAAAUAUGUGCCUCGCAUUCGAAAUGUUGUUGCGAAAACCUUACGACCUUUUGAACGUCGGCCAAUUGGAUAAUAAAUUUUAUGGAUAAUAAAUAUGUUGAAAAAAAAGAUGAAAAAAAUCUUUGAUGUAUUCGUAUUUUCUUAUUUAUUACAUAUUUUUAGACGUCUGGAGAAUUACUUAUUAAUUUAUUCUUGGCAGGACAAAAUGGAAAAUUCGCGAGAGAUAACGGGAGACCAGUAGUCGUACGAUGAAAUACGUAUAACAACUAUGAGAUAAAUCGUUUGGUCGGCUGAUGUUAUCUUCGUCCUUCCUUCAGCGAUAACCAAUUCGGUGAGCAUGUUGUCGAUUACGCUGGAUGUGUUCAACAAUUGCCGAUACAAUUUUUCAUCGCCAUGUAGUUGACAAGUCACGUAUUUUACUUUUUCUUUCCUGAAAACUCAUCUCUGUUGAAAUUAUUCACGCCCACGUUUCACUGGUUCUUCGUUAAAUUUAAUGCACAAACAUGAGCAAGUUUCAAAAUUUUAUACACACUUGCAUUUGAAGCGAACUAUAAGUCUUUCUUUCUGCAGUUUUCUUUCAUUCAAAAUACAAAUAUAAAGAGUACAUAAAA